rnacentral:rRNA from 1 species
UACGUAGGGAGCGAGCGUUGUCCGGAAUUACUGGGUGUAAAGGGAGCGUGGGCGGGGAUGCAAGUUGGGUGUCAAAACUACCGGCUCAACUGGUAGUCGCACUCAAAACUGCAGCUCUUGAGUGAAGUAGAGGCAGGCGGAAUUCCUAGUGUAGCGGUGAAAUGCGUAGAUAUUAGGAGGAACACCAGUGGCGAAGGCGGCCUGCUGGGCUUUUACUGACGCUGAGGCUCGAAAGUGUGGGGAGCAAACAGG